rnacentral:rRNA from 1 species
AUUGAACGCUGGCGGCAGGCCUAACACAUGCAAGUCGAGCGGAUGAAGGGAGCUUGCUCCUGGAUUCAGCGGCGGACGGGUGAGUAAUGCCUAGGAAUCUGCCUGGUAGUGGGGGAUAACGUCCGGAAACGGGCGCUAAUACCGCAUACGUCCUGAGGGAGAAAGUGGGGGAUCUUCGGACCUCACGCUAUCAGAUGAGCCUAGGUCGGAUUAGCUAGUUGGUGGGGUAAAGGCCUACCAAGGCGACGAUCCGUAACUGGUCUGAGAGGAUGAUCAGUCACACGGGAGGGGGAACGGGCCCCAGGCGCCUGCGGGAGGCAGCAGGGGGGAAUGUGGGACAGGGGGCGAAAUCAUGCUCCACCGGUGCGGCGUGUGUAAAGGAGUUCUCCGGUUUUAAAAGCCGUUUAAGGGGGGGGAAAGGGUAGUAAGUUAAUCCCUUGCUGUUUUGACGUUACCAAAAAAAGAAGCCCCGGCUAACUCCGUG